UACGGGGGGAGCAAGCGUUGUUCGGAUUUACUGGGCGUAAAGGGCGCGUAGGCGGCCACCGCAAGUCGGUUGUGAAAUCUCUGGGCUUAACCCAGAAAGGUCAACCGAUACUGCGGGGCUAGAGUGCAGAAGGGGCAACUGGAAUUCUCGGUGUAGCGGUGAAAUGCGCAGAUAUCAGGAGGAACACCAGCGGCGAAGGCGGCGCUCUGGGCCGGUACUGACGCUGAGACGCGAAAGCGUGGGGAGCAAACAGG
rnacentral:rRNA from 1 species